rnacentral:rRNA from 1 species
UACGUAGGGGGCAAGCGUUGUCCGGAAUCAUUGGGCGUAAAGAGCGUGUAGGCGGCCAGAAAAGUCCGCUGUGAAAACUCGAGGCUCAACUUCGAGCUGUCGGUGGAAACUUUCUGGCUAGAGUCCGGAAGAGGGGACUGGAAUUCCCGGUGUAGCGGUGGAAUGCGCAGAUAUCGGGAGGAACACCCGUGGCGAAGGCGGGUCCCUGGGACGGUACUGACGCUGAGACGCGAAAGCGUGGGGAGCGAACAGG